rnacentral:lncRNA from 1 species
AGAUACCAACCUCAAUUGUUUAUAUAGAGGCCUUUUGGGUGGUAAGUGGUGAUGUCAUGCUCUCCUUGCUUGAGACGUCGUCGGAAGCAGUUAUAGGAAGCGUUGUUCCUGGCGCCCCUUCUCUUGUGGGGUGGUAAUCUUGGUUGGUUUGGCGAUGUUCUCCGCCUGGAGUGCUCAAGUGUCUUUGCUUCCUCCGUAGAGUAUCCUAAGUGUCUUCUAUUAGCAAUAAGUAUUUCGACUUUCCUGUCGGAAGAACUUGGGAUUUUUUCAGCCAGUUCAUAUUCAGAGUACUCUUCCUGGAUGGGAGGAGUUUUUGUCGAGCCUUUCUCAGACUUGUUGUUCCUUGUGGGUGGUGAAGGCGACCAUGCUUCAAAGGAGAGGAUGGACUCGUCUUCAAAUUAUUAUUCUUGCGUAGCAAUACCUAAAGGUCACUACUCGGGCUAGUCUAUCAGUACCUUGAGCGCUGACAGAUUGCUCUUCCUGAGUAGCGGUACCUAAUAUUCAUACAUGGGUGGUCAUGUGGAUUUCCCUAUCAAAGAAGGGAUAUCGUCCACUAAAAGGACUACC